UAGUCCACGCCGUAAACGAUGAUCACUCGUUGUUGGCAAUACAUCGUCAGUGACUGAGCGAAAGCAUUAAGUGAUCCACCUGGGGAGUACGUUGGCAACAAUGAAACUCGAAGGAAUUGACGGGGGCCCGCACAAGCGGAGGAACAUGUGGUUUAAUUCGAUGAUACGCGAGGAACCUUACCUGGGCUUAAAUGCAGAAUGCUUGAAUUGGAAACAAUUCUUUCUUCGGACGUUUUGCAAGGUGCUGCAUGGUUGUCGUCAGCUCGUGCCGUGAGGUGUCGGGUUAAGUCCCAUAACGAGCGCAACCCCUAUUGUUAGUUGCUAACAGGUUAAGCUGAGGACUCUAACGAGACUGCCAUCGUAAGAUGAGAGGAAGGUGGGGAUGACGUCAAAUCAGCACGGCCCUUAUGUCCAGGGCUACACACGUGUUACAAUGGUCAGUACAAAGGGCAGCUACCUGGUGACAGGAUGCUAAUCUCUAAAU
rnacentral:rRNA from 1 species